GAUGAAGAACGUAGCGAAAUGCGAUAAGUAAUGUGAAUUGCAGAAUUCAGUGAAUCAUCGAAUCUUUGAACGCAUCUUGCGCUCCUUGGUAUUCCGAGGAGCAUGCCUGUUUGAGUGUCAUUAAAGUUCUCAACCACAUUACUACAUAUGUGGCUUGGAUGUGGGGGUUUGCAGGCUUUCUCUGAGGGUCUGCUCCUCUGAAAUGCAUUAGUGGUAUUCCUGAGCUUUACUACAGAUGUGAUAAUUUAUCUACAUCCUAAAAGUAUGCUUCAGCAACACCGCUCCUAACAAGCGAAAGCACAUUUUGAUGAAUUUGACCUCAAAUCAGGUAGGACUACCCGCUGAACUUAAGCAUAUCAAUAAGCGGAGGA
rnacentral:misc_RNA from 1 species